UUGACCUCGGAUCAGGUAGGAAUACCCGCUGAACUUAAGCAUAUCAAGGAGGCGGAGGAA
rnacentral:rRNA from 1 species